GUAACUCUCAGUUCAGAUUGUGGGCUGCAACCCGCCCACAUGAAAGUUGGAGUUGCUAGUAAUCGCGGAUCAGCAUGCCGCGGUGAAUACGUUCCCGGGCCUUGUACACACCGCCCGUCACACCAUGAGAGUUGAGAAUACCCAAAGCCCAUGUCAAAGUGGUCGAAGGUAGGCUUGAUGAUUGGGGUGAAGUCGUAACAAGGUAUC
rnacentral:rRNA from 1 species